rnacentral:rRNA from 1 species
UACGGAGGGGGCUAGCGUUGUUCGGAAUUACUGGGCGUAAAGCGCGCGUAGGCGGACCUGCAAGUCGGGGGUGAAAGCCCGAGGCUCAACCUCGGAACUGCCUUCGAUACUGCGGUCUCGAGUCCGGGAGAGGUGAGUGGAAUUCCUAGUGUAGAGGUGAAAUUCGUAGAUAUUAGGAAGAACACCAGUGGCGAAGGCGGCUAGC